UACACCGGUUCUCGUUCGACCUCCGAAGUUAAGCAUCGUAGAGCCAGGUCAGUACUUAGAUGGGGGACCGCUUGGGAACACCUGGUAAUCGCUA
rnacentral:rRNA from 1 species